UACAGAGGGUGCAAGCGUUGUUCGGAAUUAUUGGGCGUAAAGCGCGUGUAGGCGGCUUUGCAAGUCGGGUGUGAAAGCCCUCAGCUCAACUGAGGAAGUGCGCCCGAAACUGCAGAGCUUGAGUGCCGGAGAGGGUGGCGGAAUUCCCCAAGUAGAGGUGAAAUUCGUAGAUAUGGGGAGGAACACCCGUGGCGAAAGCGGCUCUCUGGAACGGUACUGACGCUGAGACGCGAAAGCGUGGGGAGCGAACAGG
rnacentral:rRNA from 1 species